rnacentral:rRNA from 1 species
GAUGAACGCUGGCGGCGUGCCUAAUACAUGCAAGUCGAGCGAACAGACGAGGAGCUUGCUCCUCUGACGUUAGCGGCGGACGGGUGAGUAACACGUGGAUAACCUACCUAUAAGACUGGGAUAACUUCGGGAAACCGGAGCUAAUACCGGAUAAUAUAUUGAACCGCAUGGUUCAAUAGUGAAAGACGGUUUUGCUGUCACUUAUAGAUGGAUCCGCGCCGCAUUAGCUAGUUGGUAAGGUAACGGCUUACCAAGGCAACGAUGCGUAGCCGACCUGAGAGGGUGAUCGGCAACAAUGGAACUGAGACACGGUCCAGACACCUACGGGAGGCAGCAGUAGAGAAUAUUCCGCAAUGGGCGAAAGACUGACGGAGCAACGCCGCGUGAGUGAUGAAGGUAGUCGGAUCGUAAAACUCUGUUAUUAGGGAAGAACAAAUGUGUAAGUAACUAUGCACGUCUUGACGGUACCUAAUCAGAAAGCCACGGAUAACUACGUG